UACCGGCAGCUCGAGUGAUGACCGAUUUUAUUGGGCCUAAAGCGUCCGUAGCUGGCCGCGCAAGUCCGUCGGGAAAUCCACCCGCUUAACGGGUGGGCGUCCGGCGGAAACUGUGCGGCUUGGGACAGGAAGGCUCGAGGGGUACGUUCGGGGUAGGAGUGAAAUCCCGUAAUCCUGAACGGACCGCCGAUGGCGAAAGCACCUCGAGAGGACUGAUCCGACAGUGCGGGACGAAAGCUGGGGUCUCGAACCGG
rnacentral:rRNA from 1 species